CCCGCUGAACUUAAGCAUAUCAAUAAGCAGAGGAAAAGAAACUAACAAGGAUUCCCCUAGUAACUGCGAGUGAAGUGGGAAGAGCUCAAAUUUAAAAUCUGGUGUGCCUUUGGCCAUCCGAGUUGUAUUCUGGAGAAGUGCUUUCUGUGCUGGACCAUGUACAAGUCCCUUGGAACAGGGCGUCAUAGAGGGUGAGAAUCCCGUCUUUGACAUGGACUCCCCAGUACUUUGUGAUGCGCUCUCAAAGAGUCGAGUUGUUUGGGAAUGCAGCUCAAAAUGGGUGGUAAAUUCCAUCUAAAGCUAAAUACAGGCGAGAGACCGAUAGUGAACAAGUACCGUGAGGGAAAGAUGAAAAGCACUUUGGAAAGAGAGUUAAACAGUACGUGAAAUUGCUGAAAGGGAAACACUUGAAGUCAGUUAUGUCUUCCAGGAGUCAAUCAUGCUGCUUACGUGGCUGUUGCAUUUUCUGGUUUGACAGGCCAGCAUCAAUUUUGGCUAUCAGAAAAAGGUCAAGGGAAUGUGACACCCUUGUGGUGUGUUAUAGCCUUUGUCUGUAUAUGAUAGUUGGGAUUGAGGACUGCAGUUAUCUUAGGAUGCUGGCAUAAUGGCUUUAAGUGACCCGUCUUGAAACACGG
rnacentral:rRNA from 1 species